UCAUUUACCAUACUGGCUACAGUCACUCAUUCCAAAAAUAUUUUAUGUGACUGAGAAAGCAUGGAAUUAUUAUCCAUAUACUAUAACUGAAUACACUUGUUCCUUCAUUCCAAAGUUCUCUAUAUCAAUUCAAACAAGAUAUGAAGAUAAUAAUGGGACUAAUGACAAUGUAAGUAAUAUUUUUUUCUUUUUAUUGAUUUUGUUUAUAAUUAUCUUAUUACAGUUGUAAAAAUAUCCCAUAGAUGGGGAUUAUAAAUGUGAAAGAUUAGUUUUGAUUUCUAAUAAAAUUGUAUGCAAGAUGAGAAAAUUC
rnacentral:lncRNA from 1 species